rnacentral:lncRNA from 1 species
GAGGAACUGCCCGGGCGCGGUAGCGUACGGGAAGACCGGAGAGGAGCUGCGUCUCUGCCCCGUGGGAGCCGGCGGGGCGGCGGGGCGGCGGCUGCAGCUGCAGCUCCGGCGCGAGGGCUCCCUUGCCGGGCCCUCUUCCCCGACCCCUGGGGCGCUCCGACAAGGAAGAGCCGUCCAGCGCGCGUCCGUCCUGAGCGUGGGCCUAGAACCAAUUACAGAGUCAAACCCAAGAGCCGAAGAAAGUGAAGACUCGCAGCUUGCCGCAGCCCCCUCCUCGGCCUGCGCACCUCCCAUUGAGGGCGUCCUGAUUUAAACGCGUGCCUCCUGCAUUUCUGCUUCUGCCCCAGGCUAGAGCGGCGACCAGGAACGCUGGACCCACAGAGAUCUGUGGCAAUGUCUGUCGAACCAUGGUGUUCUUUGGGGCAUCUGACUAGAGUAUUGUUUGAUAACCAGAAAGAAAUCAAAAAUUGGUGAUCACAAGGCUAAUGUCACUUUUGCUGCAGUGGAAAAUCAUGAUCAUUCUGUUUAAAUCUGAGUCAGUUUUGAGACCUAGAGCCCAUUAAUUGACAAGGAGGCUUGGUUCCUCUCAGGAAGGAUCUUACAAUACCAGCAUCUGAGCAUAUACCAAGAAAUAUUCCUCCAAUCCUUCCCUAAAGGGACCUAGAGCCACUUUAAAAAGUAACUGGUCCGGGCGUGGUGGCUCACGCCUGUACUCCCAGCAUUUUGGGAGGCCGAGGCGGGCAGAUCACUUGAGGUCAGGAGUUUGAGACCACCCUGGCCAACAUAGCGAAACCCCGUCGCUACUAAAAAUACAAAAAUUAGCCGGGUUUGGUGGCUUGUGCCUGUAAUCCCAGCUACACGGGAGGCUGAGGCGUGACAAUCCCUUGAACCCAGGCCUUGUUGCCGCGAGCCACUGCACUCCAGCCUGAGCGACAGAGUCAGACUCAGUCUCAAAAAAAAAAAAAAAAAAAAGAAAACUGAUUCUGGCUGGGGGCAGUGGGUCACGCUUUUAAUCCCUGCACUUUGGGAAGCCGAAGUAGGAGGAUCGUUUGAGCCCAGGAGUUUGAGACCAGCCUGGGCAACAUAGCAAGAACCUGUCUUUACAAAAAUUAAAAGAUUAGCUGGGCGUGGUGGCAGGUGCCUGUGGUUCCAGCUACUCUGGAUGCUGAGGUGAGAGAAUCACUUAAGCCCAGGAGGUCAAGGCUGCAGUGACCUGUGUUCACGCCACUGCACUCCAGCCUGAGCAACACAGCAAGACUGUCUGAACAGCAACAACAAACACACCAAAAAAACUAGUUUACUUCGGAAAAGGGACUGUCUAGGUCUUUGAAGGGCUGAUACAGGAUCUGAGCUGACACUGUUUCCAGGAGCCCUGAAGCAUCAUGGCCCUCUCAUUAGGGUGCAGGCUUAUGGAAAUCAGAUGAUAAGCAGAAUUCCCAACCCGAGUCCUGUGGUUACUUCUCUGGUCUCAAUGCAUACUUGGGAUGUUUUUACCUAGCAGAGGGCGGAGCGUAUACAUUGAUCCCAGGCCUUUGGUACCAUAUGUAAGGAAGCGCAAAGUAGAAACCUUUGAAACUCCUCACCCUACUGAAACCUUUCCAAGAUAGUAAGUCAGAAACAAUGCUGCAUUCCAGGUGUAAUUGCAGAGGUAUUUCGCCCUCAAAGACUUAUAAAGCAGUGGUUACCGUUUCAUCCCUUCAAUUAACCUGAAUGGCUCCUGCUAAAUCUUGGUGGAUUCAAGUAAAUGAUGAUGCCCUGCACAAACUUAGCCAAGUCGUGUCCCCGAUCACACAGCUGUGCUAGGUGUGGUAUCUUUACUGGAACCGAUAAAUGCACCUCUGGCUCUUGAUAAUGCAAUUAUUGACUUGGUGAACAUUCUUUUCAAUUGCCAGUGGUAAAGAGGAUUAAAAGCAGUUCACAUUUAUAUGGGAAGGACAGCUCUGUAAAUGGUCUUGCUUCUUGCUGUCUGAACUCUCCUGUUCUCUGUCACAAUAGUCCUUAGGUAGCUUAUCAUCUAUAUUCCAUAUAACAUUGAUGAUGUCAUACUAGUUGGACAUGGUGAAGAAGGCCGUGCAUGUCAGAGGAUGAGCGAGAAGCCCUCAGAAGUUCUGGAGCCUGCCAUAUCAGUGACAUUCUCAGGGGUGCAGCGUUUGAGGGCAAGCCAGGGACAAGUUAUUGCAUCCUGCAUCCUUACAAGGAAGAAAGAGGCACAGCAUUGAGGCACCUCUGUGUUUUGGAGUCAGCAUGCACCGCGCUAGAGGAUACCUCUCUGACCCCUUUAUUGGAGGAGUUGGUGAACAGCAGGAUGGAUGGGAUGUCAGUCAGCUGUGCCCCUGGCUACCCCUGUGCUUGAACAGUGGACUGUGAGUGGCGGCGUCAUGCAGAAGGAGCACAGGGUCCCAGGCCAGCAUCACUAUCCAGGAGCUUCAGGCAUGCUCCGUGUACCAACAUGGGAUCACGAAUCACAUCGCCUCAGGCCAAGAAAGCCAUUUUAUAGCGAAAGAGCCUUAGGAUCUGCUGGAUUAGAGCCUGUUUCCCAGGUAGGAACGCUUCCACGAGGGCACUCCUGCUGGUUGCAGGAAGGAUACCUCUGCUGAGCCUGAAUCUGCAAAGACCACCAGGUUACUCUCAGCUCCUCAUACUGGUGGACCAGCAGGCCACAAAGGAGGGGAUACUUGAUCCUGAUAAACGGUUAUGCUUGUUUGCUGAUGGAAAUGAUCCAGAAGAGAAGGACAAGUUGACGAUUGAGAGGGUUAAUGUCAGGUAAGAAACUUGAGUGGACAUUGAGGAAAGAGCGAGGUUCAGUGGACUGGAGGUUUGUGGUGGUUUCAUGACACGUGGACUGGAGAUUUGCAGUGGUUUUAUGACACAUGGACUGGAGGUUUGUGGUGGUUUCAUGACACAUGGACUGCAGAUUUGCAGUGGUUUUAUGACACAGCUCCUAAGUUCUUUGACACUCUUCCCAUGGAGGGGUAGGGUCUGUGACCCCCCUCUUGAAGCUGGGUAGGCUUGCAACUGCUUUGGCCAAUAGUCACAGCAGCAGUGAUGCUGUAGGACUUACAAGGUUAGACCAGAAAAGGGCAUGCCCUCCAAGGAUCCUUACUCUGAUGGGAACCAGCCAUCAUGUAGAAACUCUACCCUUGGCUGGGUGCGGUGGCUCACGCCUGUAGUCCUAGCAUUUUGGGAGGCCGAGGUGGGCGGAUCACCUGAGGUCAGGAGUUCCAGACCAGCCUGGCCAACAUGGCGAAGACCCGCCUCUACUAAAAAUACAAAAAAAAAAUGAGCUGGGCGUGCUGGCAGGCACCUAUAAUCCCAGCUACUCGGGAGGCUGAGGUAGGAGAAUCACUUGAACCCAGGAGGUGGAGGUUGCAGUGAGCCAAGAUCACACCACUGCACUCCAACCUGGGUGACAGAGCGAGACUCUUGUCUCCAAAAAAAAAAAGAAAAGAAAAGAAACUACCCUGAGACCACGAUGCAGGAGAGCCCAGUGGAUAUGCUGGUGACAGCCGCAGCAGAGCCCCCAGCUCACACUCAGCAUCCACUGCCAACCUUCUGAAUGAACCAUCUCAGACCUCGAGCCAGGCUUACCUCCAACUGCAACCAAACCUCAAAAGAGACCCAGGCAAGAACUUCCCAUUGGAGUCCUUCCUGAAUUUCCACCCUCAAAACAAACAAUUGUAAAUAACAACUUAAUUGUUUUAAUCCACUAAAUUUGAGGAUAAUUUGUUACACAGUAAUAGUAAUUGAAGCACAUUUCUUAUGGAGUUAAAAAAAAAAAAAAAGGCUUGACACAGUGGCUCACGCCUGUAAUCCCAGCACUUUGGGAGGCUGAGGUGAGUGGAUUGCUUGAGCUCAGGAGUUUGAGACCAGGCUGAGCAACAUGAUGAAACCCUGUCUCUACAAAAAAUAAAAACAUUAGCCAGGUGUGGUGGCACACAUCUAUAGUCCAACUACUCUGAGGAAUGAAGUGGGAGAAUUGCUUGAACCUAGGAGGCAGAGGUUACAGUGAGCUGAGAUUGCACCACUACAUUCCUGCCUGGGUGACAGAGCAAGACCCUGUCUCAAAAAAAAAAAAAAGUGGGUAUUGUAGUAAUGCAGCAAGAGACCAAGAAAAGUAGGAGGUAGUGAUCAGAGACCUGGCUGCAUAAAAAUGAAGAUUCGGGAAAUGGUGGCGUUAGGACUUCACCAUGGUGAAGGUAGAACUCUUAAUUUUCAUCUUUAUUAAAUGUGUCUGUUUGCAGUUUUAACCAUUGGCAUAUUUAUUUUGUGUUUGUGAUUUCUGUGAAAUAUGAGUACAAUAAAUACUGAUAGUUUGCAUUUGUUUUCUAAUCUCUCAGAAAGUUGUCAGAAAAUGUUCUCUGACUUUUUAGAAUUGCUGUGGUCAGG